GUGUCAGCAGCCGCGGUAAGACAGAGGGUGCAAACGUUGUUCGGAAUUACUGGGCGUAAAGCGAGUGUAGGCGGUUUGGUAAGUCGGAUGUGAAAGCCCCGGGCUCAACCCGGGAAGUGCACUCGAUACUGCCAAGCUAGAGUAUCGGAGAGGUUGGUGGAAUUCUCGGUGUAGAGGUGAAAUUCGUAGAUAUCGAGAGGAACACCGGUGGCGAAGGCGGCCAACUGGACGAAUACUGACGCUGAGACUCGAAAGCGUGGGGAGCAAACAGGAUUAGAUACCCCCGUAGUCC
rnacentral:rRNA from 1 species